UACGGAGGAUCCGAGCGUUAUCCGGAUUUAUUGGGUUUAAAGCGUGCGCAGGCGGUUAUAUAAGUCAGAUGUGAAAUCCCCGGGCUCAACCUGGGACCUGCAUUUGAGACUGUAUAGCUAGAGUACGGUAGAGGGGGAUGGAAUUCCGCGUGUAGCAGUGAAAUGCGUAGAUAUGCGGAGGAACACCGAUGGCGAAGGCAAUCCCCUGGACCUGUACUGACGCUCAUGCACGAAAGCGUGGGGAGCAAACAGGAUUAGAUACCCUGGUAGUCCACGCCCUAAACGAUGUCAACUGGUUGUUGGGUCUUCACUGACUCAGUAACGAAGCUAACGCGUGAAGUUGACCGCCUGGGGAGUACGGCCGCAAGGUUGAA
rnacentral:rRNA from 1 species